GAUGAACGCUGGCGGCGUGCCUAAUACAUGCAAGUCGAGCGAACAGACGAGGAGCUUGCUCCUCUGACGUUAGCGGCGGACGGGUGAGUAACAUGUGUAUAACCUACCUAUAAGACUGGGAUAACUUCGGGAAACCGUAGCUAAUACCGGAUAAUAUAUUGAACCGCAUGGGUCAAUAGUUAAAGUCGGUUGUUCUGUCACUUAUAGAUUGACCCGCGCCGCAUUAGUUAGUUGGUAAGGUAACGGCUUAACAAGGCUACGAUGGGUAGCCGACCCGAGAGGGUGAUCGGACACACGGGAACUGAGACACGGUCGCGACUCCUACGGGAGGACGCGGUAGGGAAUCUUCCGCAAUGGGCGAAAGCCUGACAGAGCAACGCCGCGUGAGUGAUGAAGGUCUUCGGAUCGUAAAACUAUGUUAUUCGGGAAGAACAAAUGUGUAAGUAACUAUGCACGUCUUGACGGUACCUAAUCAGAAAGCCCCGGCCAACUACGUG
rnacentral:rRNA from 1 species